rnacentral:lncRNA from 1 species
GAUGACCUUGUUUCUCAAUUUGUUGGCUACCUGGCUCAACGCUUCUCCCUGAAAGAUCUUGGCUCUCUUUCUUAUUUUCUUGGCGUUGAGGUUGUUCCACAUCGGCGAGGCAUAUUGCUCUUUCAAAGAAGAUAUAUCCAAGACUUGCUAAAAAGAACUCAUAUAGUAGAUGCUACACCCGUCCUUACCCCAUUACCAACAAAUUCUUCCUCACUCACCAUCACCUCAGGCACUCCUCUUUCAGAUCCUUCUCAAUUUCGUGCUGUAGUUGGGAGCUUGCAAUAUCUCUCUCUCACUCGUCCCGAUAUCUCUUUUGCUGUCAAUAAGAUGGCUCAAUUUAUGCAUCAGCCUACUGAUGAGCAUUGGGUACUUGUUAAACGAAUUCUACGGUAUUUAUGUGGCACAUUGGAUAAAGGUCUUUUUCUCCAUCGUGAGUCUUCUUUAUCUCUUCAUGGGUUCUCUGAUGCUCUUCAUGCGUUCUCGGAUGCUGACUGGGCCGGCAAUAAAGAUGAUUACUCUUCCACUAGUGCAUACCUUGUCUAUCUUGGGCGGAAUCUUAUUUCUUGGAGUUCUAAGAAGCAACAAACUGUUGCUCGUUCUUCUACAGAAGCGGAAUAUCGUUCAGUUGCUGCUACUGCUGCUGAACUUCGGUGGGUAUGUUCACUGCUUGCUGAACUUGGUGUGACUUUGCAAUCUUCUCCAGUUGUCUAUUGUGAUAACAUUUGUGCUACUCAGUUAAGCUCCAAUCCUGUGUUUCAUUCUCGAAUGAAACAUGUAGUAGUGGAUUACCAUUUUAUCCGUGAACAGGUUCAAUCUGGUUUACUUCGUGUGGCUCAUGUUUCUUCUGCCGACCAACUUGCUGAUCUCCUCACCAAACCUUUGCCACGUUCUCAGUUCCUACUGCUAAGAGACAAGAUUGGCCUCUUUACCCGUGGCCUAUCUUGAGGGGGCAUAAAGAACAUACGUGUCAUUUGCAGUUUCAAUUACUUAAAGUUGUUGAGUCUUCGUUUAGAAUAGGACUUUAAUCUUCUUUUAUAAUAGAACUCCUUUUUGCAUACCUUGUCUAUCUUGGGCGGAAUCUUAUUUCUUGGAGUUCUAAGAAGCAACAAACUGUUGCUCGUUCUUCUACAGAAGCGGAAUAUCGUUCAGUUGCUGCUACUGCUGCUGAACUUCGGUGGGUAUGUUCACUGCUUGCUGAACUUGGUGUGACUUUGCAAUCUUCUCUAGUUGUCUAUUGUGAUAACAUUGGUGCUACUCAGUUAAGCUCCAAUCCUGUGUUUCAUUCUCGAAUGAAACAUGUAGUAGUGGAUUACCAUUUUAUCCGUGAACAGGUUCAAUCUGGUUUACUUCGUGUGGCUCAUGUUUCUUCUGCCGACCAACUUGCUGAUCUCCUCACCAAACCUUUGCCACGUUCUCAGUUCCUACUGCUAAGAGACAAGAUUGGCCUCUUUACCCGUGGCCUAUCUUGAGGGGGCAUAAAGAACAUACGUGUCAUUUGCAGUUUCAAUUACUUAAAGUUGUUGAGUCUUCGUUUAGAAUAGGACUUUAAUCUUCUUUUAUAAUAGAACUCCUUUUUUGAGUCAUCCUUCUUUUCCGAUACUUUUUGUUAUUCUUGUUGCAAAAGUUGU